AACUUUCUUUCUAUUAAACAAUGCAGGAAUAAUCUGUGGCUUGUUUCAGAGAUGAAUCACUGUUCAUGGGAGCUACCAAGAGAAGUCUGAGCUAAAGGAGUUCACAUUCACUGUGCUACACUUUACCCAUGCCUGUUGUACCCCAUGAACUAGCAUUUACAGGACAGUUUUCUAAACCACCCCCUUCCCUGAAAUGCUUCUGUUGAAUGGGAGAAUAAACAUGGCAUACCCCACCAUGGAAAAUUAAUCGUAGUCUAGCAGUAUUGUUAUCUGGUAACAGAUUUUGCAACCUCUAGAGACUUGUUAUCUGGUUCCAUAUGAACCACCACUAGUUUAUGUCCUAGAUCAAAACCUAGGUUCCAUAAUCUACACCUAGACCAGACUUUUUUUCUUAAGAAUCUAAACCAAUAUUUACCAUUUUGAUCAUCACAUUAAAAUGGCAGUAUGUGGCAUCCUAAAAAUGAUUUUGACAGUGUUGUAAGAUCAUCUCAUGUUCUAGUUUUAUCGCUUUUGAGUACUUUACAGUUGGAACCUUAACAUACUAAAGUUUACCCCCCACCCCCCAAAAAAGCCAAAAAUCUGCAACGCAGACUUUAAAAUCUGCUUUCACUUGUUAGAUGCAUAUUACUUGACUAUUAAUGAAUAGUAAUUUUCAUUUUUUUAAAAAAAAAAGGCUGGUGUCUUUGAUUUGAGAUGAUAUGCUAAUGUCUGAGAACAACAUGUAAUUUCAACAUUAUUUUUAAGAUACAAGCUAUGAAAACAAAUAAUGUUUUACCAUACAAAUAGCAGUGUCCAACCAGGAAACUAAAAAAUGAAACAAAUGUUUUGUUUAUUCAUUACUUGUGAGUUUAAUGUGACAGCAGUAUUAUCAUUACAAAAACAAUGCCAGACCAUAUUUGGAAGUGUAAAAAUCCAACAAUAUUUGCAACAUUAUAUACUGAACUGAUAAACCGAUAUUGUAUGGUAGGUCAUUUACUUUUGCAGGGUUUACUAGCAUGGGGCCCCUGUGAAAAUGAUAAAAAGUGAAUUUAAAAUGCUACUAUUUAACUUAAGAUAAUGUCUUUCUAUGAAUUUCUAGGUCCUCCAUCACAGCUCUUUGGUCAAUUUCUGAUGGUCGUGUUAGAGAUUCCCUAGAGAGACCAUAUUAAUCAAAUCCACCCAAAUUAAACCUGAAACUGUGGAGGGCCAAGUGCAUUUAAAUUUUCCAGACACUUCUGUCAAAGGGCUGGUUCAUACAUGCAUGUUUCAAAUAUAUUAACAGGGUCCUUCCUGACUAUCUUCACACACAGAUCUGUGUGGAGAAUUGUCAAGGUAAGCUAAAUGGUACUCAGGUAAAGCUUGAAACAGCACGUAAUGAGUCUGUUAAGGCAGCUAGAACAAUUAAAAUCAUAUAAAUACAUUAAUGGCUGGGUGCAGUGACUCUGCUGUGGAUCCAGCUGUGCGUGAUCCUGACUCCCCUCAGCAGCUGAGUCAUGACUAUUUUGGUCAUGUAGACAUGGCCUUAGCUGAGUUUGGACACUUGCAUCUUGACUUGGGGAACAAACAUUGUUUGUUGCCACACCUCAGGCAGCAAAAUAUAUUGGGCAGGUUCUAACAUUGCAUUGGGCAGCCAAUGUUUGCUAUUAGCAAGUUCUAAGAUAACUUUGGGAGCCCCCGGUGGCGCAGUGGGUUAAAGCACUGAGCUGCUGAGCUUGUUGAUCGAAAGGUCGCAGGUUCGAUUCCGGGGAGCGGCGUGAGCUUCUGCUGUCAGCCCUAGCUUCUGCCAACCUAGCAGUUUGAAAAUAUGCAAAUGUGAGUAGAUCAAUAGGUACCGCUCCGGCAGGAAGGUAAUGGCACUCCAUGCAGUCAUGCCGGCCACAUGACCUUGGAGGUGUCUACGGACAACGCUGGCUCUUCGGCUUAGAAAUGGAGAUGAGCACCAACCCCCAGAGUCAGACACGACUGGACUUAAUGUCAGGGGACUACCUUUACCUUACCUUUAAGAUAACUUUAGCAUUUAAAGUGAGACUGUAUAGGGUGAGCUGAUAAAAGCAGGAGCACAUUAAAGAUAAGAAUAAAGGAAAAGCCAGCCUUGUGAUUCAUCAAGUGAUAUUAUGACAGGCCAUCAGCUUUUUCUUUUGCCUCUACUUUGGGAAGAAGGCUAUAAUAGCAAGAUAUCAGCACAAACAAAGGAGAUGCUAUUUUACCAUAAUGCAACAACAUCAUGUCAAAACUCACACUUCUGGGUAGGGAAAUGGCAACCUUCCAAAUGUUGGAAUGCAUCUUCAAAGAUCCCUCACUAUGGAUGAUGUUGGUUUGGCCUGAUAGGAAUUGCAGUUCAAAAACAUAUGGAGCUUGCAGGCAUUUUGUCUAACCUUCCCACAUGGUGCUUACAGAGCAUCAUUUCUGCCUGUACCAUCACCUUGUGGCAUUUUUGAUAUAGGGUUCCGAAUGUCCUUGUACCCAGCAUCUGAAGCGGCUUAUUACCAGGCAAUUCUUCAUUGGGUGUUCUGUCAACAAACAAUGCUACUGUUUCCCAAACAGUUGUAUUUGGACCAAUCUGUGAAUUUCUUCAUGAUGUGGAAUCAUAGCAGAAUUUUCAAAAUUUGCAAAUUAUUCAGAAUCUGUUCAGCAGGAAAAAAAGUAGAUGACUUUGCACAUUAAUCAUCUUGUUGUGUCACAUUUUUUUCUUCCAUGGUUCUUUCAUACAUGUCUACAGUUCAAAGCUAAUGUUUUCACUUCAGUUUUGGACAUUGCACAGAUGGUACCACCACUAUUUCAAGGGGGACAAUUCGUUCUCUAAGAAUGAGAGCUGCUAUUGAAACCUAAAGUCCUGAUGUGUUAUGAUUGGCACACAGCAUAUGAUGCACAUUUGAACAACAUACUCACCAUGAAAAGUCACUCAUUGUGAAUUCAAUAUAUUAAUAGGACCGUGAGAAUUGACCUAAACAAAUAAAGUGAUACUUGAAUGGAUUUAAAGCAGGGGUGGAGAUCAGCUGUCCCCCCCUCCCCCCAGCACCAAACCUUACUGAAUUGUAUGUCUCAACAGAUCAUAGCCGUAAGCUCAGAGAUAGAACCCAAUAACUUCUGAAUUUUGGCUUAAACGGUUGGAAUGAGACUCAGUAUUUUAGAAAUAAGUUGCUAAAAGAGGAGAUGAAUCUGUAAAUUUAUUUCAUUUCAUUACAUUUAUAAAGAUUAUAUUAGAUUCAUUUAAAUAAGAGCAUAUUCCCAUUAUCAGUAGGAGAAUACAGUAGGUCAUAUUUAAGAUUUUCAACACUACAUUUAUUUUAGAGCUUUGUUUAUGGGAUAAUAUCCCGCUGUCAUAGAGAAACUGUAAAAGAUGCAAACAAAAUUAUUAUAUUCAUGUUAAAUUUUCCAUUUAUUAAAGAGAAGAGCAAGGCCCUAAAACAGGGAGCAAAUACCCCACAACUUUAGAUACAGUCACAAUUCUGUCCCGAUGAUUACAUCUUGAGCCCAACUUCCACUCUCAAACCUAAUGUAUAAGGCUGGAGCUUCCAGCUCUCUUCCAACACCAAGGUAAAGAACUCUGGAGCUGUCACAAUGCAUAUCACUGCCUGUAGAAGGUUGGAAGCAUUGUCACUCACUACUUCAUUCCUUAGCACUUCUGAAAACUCUCAAUUGGCAGAGAAGCUAGACUUAUAUUGUGGGCUCAGGGAAGGGCUUUGAUUAUUGACUAAACAGGAUCCCAACUAAUGCUUUUACUAUCUAUUUGUAAUGUUGGUCUCAUUACUUCAAUUGUAUACAGCAAUUGCAUGCAAGUCUAUCUAGCAAUCAGUAUCAAAGUGAUUGAGAGAAAGAUGGCAACAUAAGCUUUCAUAAAAAUCCAUAUCUUAGGAAGUCGACUUAGAGUAAGCUUAUACUGGUUGGUAAACCUGGGGGCAGUCCAGAGCAGAAAUGAGCCAGACUGGUCCCGAGUUGGCCACAUACACUCUCCCAAACCCACUGUGGUGGUGGGUUAGAAUCCACACAGUUUAACUGUGUUGGCCCCACUGGACUUCUCACCUCACCCUGUGUUUAACAUUCACCUCUCCACACCAGCUACAGACCUCAGUUGAUGUCAGAACAGGUGCAGGGAAAAGGUGAUGAUUGUGAUGUCCUGUGUGGACAGUUGAUUAGUCUGAAUCAUACUGCCACAAAUCUGCAAGAUACUCCAGAGCACCUCCCGGCUUGGUCUGAAGUGGGGCAAAAUUGGCUUAACCCAGGAUAAUACUUAACCCAUCAAUACUCAAUAUAAGUGACAUCAUAACACAGUCAGCAGCCAACUCGGAGUGUGUUCGGGUUUUCAUGCUAGUGUAGACUAACCCACACAGACAAGUUCUUUCACUACUAACUUAUUUAUCUGAAGUUCUACAAGAUCCCUCUGCAAAAUUAUACUCCGGACUAACAUUACUAUGUCUAUUAAUUCUAUCUGGCAAUAACAUUAUUGAACACAGUAAGUUUUGUUCAUCUCCAUGAGAACAGAUAGAACUUCAUUUUCAAUCUGCCAUUUAUAUUUCUAUAGAUGUUUACUUCAAAGUUGAUCUAAUUCAAUGGGAUUUAUACCUAAAUAAGUGAAUAUUUGAUUGAAGCCUAAAUCCAAUUGUGAAACCCAAAGGAGACCCAUUGAAACAAUUGGAAGUUGAUAAUUCAAUAGUACAUUCCAUUGAUUUAAUUGUAGAUUGGACAAGCAAUUGGAUUUAGGUCUGUACAUUUUAAACUUUAAAAACCUGUUUACAUGUAAGCACUGUCCUUAUCACUUCAAGUCUCCAAAUUUGUAAUCGUUGGUAAUUUUUCAGAUAUUACACAGGGUUGGUCAGAGCCAAAGCAUAUACUUAAAGAAAACUUCCUGAAAAAAAAAAGAUGGGAACAUGUUUACUAGGUUCAUACUACUAUUUUUCAAGCUCAAUGUUAGUGGAAAUUAAUUAAAAUUUAGCAAAAUGUGUUUGGAAUGUACUUGCUGUUUGUAUCAUGCCUAUGUAUAUGUCUGGUUUUUUAAAAAACUAUUUUCAUUCUACAUGAAUUUCAACUUUGCUAAUAAAAGUUUGAGUUGAUGUAAUAA